CAGCAGCCGCGGUAAUACGUAGGGUGCGAGCGUUAAUCGGAUUUACUGGGCGUAAAGCGUGCGCAGGCGGCCCGUUAAGGCAGGUGUGAAAUCCCUGGGCUCAACCUAGGAAUUGCGCUUGUGACUGGCGGGCUCGAGUACGGUAGAGGGGGGUGGAAUUCCUGGUGUAGCAGUGAAAUGCGUAGAGAUCAGGAGGAACACCGAUGGCGAAGGCAGCCCCCUGGGCCUGUACUGACGCUCAUGCACGAAAGCGUGGGGAGCAAACAGGAUUAGAUACCCCUGUAGUCCCUGUCUCUUAUAC
rnacentral:rRNA from 1 species